AGCGAACGCUGGCGGCAGGCCUAACACAUGCAAGUCGAACGAACUCUUCGGAGUUAGUGGCGGACGGGUGAGUAACACGUGGGAACGUGCCUUUAGGUUCGGAAUAACUCAGGGAAACUUGUGCUAUACCGAAUGUGCCCUUCGGGGGAAAGAUUUAUCGCCUUUAGAGCGGCCCGCGUCUGAUUAGCUUGUUGGUGAGG
rnacentral:rRNA from 1 species